UCACAUCAGAGAGCUCUGCUUUAAGGCUUUAUUUUGGAACAUUAGACCUUGCUUUCAAUAGACUUUCAGAGAUCUUAUUUCUAAAGGUUAUGAGUGGAGUCCUUUACAUUCUCAAGCACAAAAAUCUGAAAUAUAUAAUUGGGAAGGCUGACAUGUAAGAGCUACUGACUUGACGAGAGAAUGAGGCUAGCAGAUUCCCCAGUUGCAUGACUCAACACAACUUUAGUUUCUCCUCGAGAGAUGAUAAGACUACUUGUUUCUUCUGGGUGGGCAGGAAGCACAGCUGUUCAACUGAAGCAGUGACAGAAGUUUUCCAGAUGGCUGUGUUGGAUCCUGCCAACCACACCAGAUGGGAAGGGUUCCCUUACCUGAACUGAAUGUGCACAUCCCUCCAGAAGUUCUCUGUCAAGCUGGGCUCCUGAGCGAGAUACAUAGGAAGUGGUUGUGUUAAAUGAACAUCCUUUAUUCUUGGUUAUGACUUAAUCCUUGUCUGAAGCCUAAGCCAGAAACUGGUGUAAGAAGCCAGCCUAUCGGUUUGCUUUCCUACAGCUGCGACUUGGUCCUGCGUAUUCCUCUGGAUUAAAAACAGCUCCUAAAACAAAGACUCAGCCAACCCCAUUUUGCCAUUCUGGAGGCAGAAAUAGAAAGAGAGGGAGUUUCCUGGAAUUACUUUUCAUUCAUUCACCCUUUCCAGCACCAUCUCCAUUGCCAAGUCCUGACGGGUAUGUAGACCCUCAGCUAAACCCAUGGGAAACUCCUCCCUGGGUUAGGUUCAGGGAAGAGUGUUUGCAAAUGCUUCCUGACUCAGGGCCCGCUGGGACAGUUCCUAUAAAGGCUUUGUCUUUUCCUCCAUAAAGAAUUGAUGUGGAUUUCCUCUCCUUAUUUCCUCUUCUCUUAAGCAUGGUUCUGAACUUCCUCUUGGAAUCUGAAUCUCAAUAGGAUUUUAUUUUAUGUCAAUGGGAAAGCUUAUGUAUAAUUCAACUUCAUUUCGAUUGAAGAAGGGGCAAGGAGUUCCCUCUGUGUGCCUGGAGUUGAGUGAUCUUGGGACUGAAGGACUGUGCCUCACCACAUUUCAUCUACCAAGCGGCUUGCUGACAGCCCUUGCAAAAUAAAAGUUAAUCAGUCAUUCAAGUGUAA